GCCAGAGUGGGUCUAGUUACCCUCGGUAAGCCUCGAGGUUGGAUGCUCCUAAAACUGGCCGGACGAAUCACCAUGAAGUGUAGAGUCAGAAGGCGGGCGUAACUAAGUGACGACAGAGGCGCGACGAUUCUGACAGAAACAACCGGAAACAACUAGCCUAGCCACGCUAGACAACCCACGGCAACGAAUUUAAUUCUCUGCCAG